CCCCCAGGCUUUUUACAUACCAGAGGCUGCCAGGAACUCCAGGAGCUUCUGAUGAGUGACUAGACUCAUUCAGGUUCAGCAGGAGCCACCCAGGGUACCCUCAGAAGCCUUAGCCAGGACAGCAAAGCUCUGGAGAAUGUAGAGAGAACUCAGUAAAUGUAGAGAGAGCUGGUAGACACCAAAUGCCUUCCAUGCCUGGACUCACAGCAACAUCAUCAGGAAGGAGUGAUACUUUGCCUGUUUCACAGGAAAAUGAGGUCAAGCGACCACACUAAGGUGGCACAGAACCUUGGUCUACCUUCAUCCAAAGCUCAUUCCGACAGUCGUCAUACUUGAUGCAGCAAGUGCUAAGACGCAUGAUGUCAGCUGGGUAAUGCUAGCCUGAGAUGCCGGAACUCAACUCGCCACUUUCCAACUAAGGAUCUCUUGAACUCACUGAUCUGCCUAUUCGCUGCAAUCCGCUUUUUAUAACAGAGAGAUAGGCCAACUGCUGGCCCCACACCAUUUCCUCCGAGAAGACUGAUGGGCACUGAAGAAGCUUCAUCUCGAGUCAGUGACAACGCUAGUCACUGAGCAACCCUGCCCUUCACCUCAACUACUACAAAGUAUUCAAGACCUUGGGCAAGAGGACAAUGGAAUCGACUUUCUCGGCGUUGCUUGGGCCAACGGAUUCUUGUAAGUUCCAGGGAGCCGAUUCAGAUCCAAACAGGUCAGCUUCACUCCAGGUAAUAUUCAAUCUUUCCCUGGUCCCAGGAUUCCCUUCCCUCAUAUUAGGACUCCUCGGGAACCCCUCCCUCAUCUUACAAUCUUCCCCUCAAAUGACAGGACCUAAGAAAAAAAAUUUUUCUAAACUUAACCUUGUCCUCUGCUCUGUCAACACCUUGCCAGGUCUAAGAGACGCCAGGUAGUUCCAUAUAGCCUGGACUACAAUGAAACAACCAGCUUCCCCAGGACGUGGCAGCACCCCAAACUUCUCGGGUCCCCCAAAGAUGGUCAACGCCCCCCACGUCAGCAGGAAGCAGUCUUAAGAAUUCGACGCCCUUAUUCCUUAACCUGCCAUGUCUAAACACCCCACCUUUUUUAAAUAAUAAGUAGAGGUGGGAAUGAAAGGUUCAGGCAUUAUGCUGGCCUGCCCCUGUUACCUGGUGAAACAGGCAGUACCCUGGUCAGCCCAAGGUUCCAUGGGAACUAAGUCUGCACACAGGUGCAGAGGACCCCUUUAAAAGAUAAGUCCCUGCCCCUUUACGCUCUCUCUCUCUCUCUGUUCCCGUUUUCUCUGUUUCUCUGUUUCUCUGUUCCCGCUCUCCCUGUCUGUUCCCGUUCUCUGUCUCUCUGUUCCUCUGUCCCGCUCUGUCUCUCUAUGGCGACCGGCCAUGGCGGUCAG
rnacentral:lncRNA from 1 species